rnacentral:rRNA from 1 species
GCAGCACGGAGCUUGCUCUGGUGGCGAGUGGCGAACGGGUGAGUAAUGCGUCGGAACGUAUCCAUAAUGGGGGAUAACGCAGCGAAAGCUGUGCUAAUACCGCAUACGCCCUCCGGGGGAAAGCAGGGGAUCUUAGGACCUUGCGUUAAUGGAGCGGCCGACGUCUGAUUAGCUAGUUGGUAGGGUAAAGGCCUACCAAGGCGACGAUCAGUAGCUGGUCUGAGAGGAUGAUCAGCCACACUGGGACUGAGACACGGCCCAGACUCCUACGGGAGGCAGCAGUGGGGAAUUUUGGACAAUGGGCGCAAGCCUGAUCCAGCCAUUCCGCGUGAGUGAAGAAGGCCUUCGGGUUGUAAAGCUCUUUCAGGAGGGAAGAAACGAUUGUGGCUAAUACCCAUGAUUAAUGACGGUACCUUCAGAAGAAGCACCGGCUAACUACGUGCCAGCAGCCGCGGUAAUACGUAGGGUGCGAGCGUUAAUCGGAAUUACUGGGCGUAAAGCGUGCGCAGGCGGUUUUUCAAGUCUGAUGUGAAAUCCCCGGGCUUAACCUGGGAACUGCGUUGGAAACUGAAAGACUAGAGUGCGGCAGAGGGGGGUAGAAUUCCACGUGUAGCAGUGAAAUGCGUAGAUAUGUGGAGGAAUACCGAUGGCGAAGGCAGCCCCCUGGGUCGACACUGACGCUCAUGCACGAAAGCGUGGGUAGCAAACAGGAUUAGAUACCCUGGNAGUCCACGCCCUAAACGAUGUCAACUAGUUGUUGGGGAGGGAGACCUCCUUAGUAACGCAGCUAACGCGUGAAGUUGACCGCCUGGGGAGUACGGUCGCAAGAUUAAAACUCAAAGGAAUUGANGGGGGCCCGCACAAGCGGUGGAUUAUGUGGAUUANUCGAUGCAACGCGAAAACCUUACCUACCC